GCCCCUAUAGAUCAGUGGUAGAUCGUUUCACUUGUAAUGAAAAGGUCCGUCGUUCAAUCCGGCGUGGGGGCA
rnacentral:tRNA from 1 species